UUGAGUCGUGCGAUGUUCAUCCCGGCCUUGAUCAUCUCCUUGAGGCGCUCCACGGAGCGAGAUGCCGGCCCUGGAACCAGAGACCCUACUCAGACAACUUUCUCCCCAUCAUCACCACCUUCAGAGAUGCCCGAGACCGCAGAAGUCCAGUUACCUGACCUUUGUUCCCUGAGCAUAAUGUACUCUGAAGGGAAGCCCCGGUCGCCCAGGAGGAGGUACUGAGAACAACUUCUGCUGACUCCAGGCACGAACAGUUCCUAACGGCGCUGGACACACGAUCACUCCCCAGUCAACUGACCACACUCGCUAAACUGUAACUGAGAAAAAUAACCUGGACAAAAAACAGACCUUCUAAACUCCCCUAUAUAUUCUGAAAACCCCAAGACUCUGGUGCAACAGUCUGGCCUCAAACCUGACUGCUGCCCCUCCUUGCCGAUUAAAAGCAAUCUGGUUCUAUU